rnacentral:rRNA from 1 species
UACGUAGGGGGCAAGCGUUAUCCGGAUUUACUGGGUGUAAAGGGAGCGUAGGUGGCAGGGCAAGUCAGAUGUGAAAACCCGGGGCUCAACUCCGGGAUUGCAUUUGAAACUGCCCGGCUGGAGUGCAGGAGAGGUAAGUGGAAUUCCUAGUGUAGCGGUGAAAUGCAUAGAUAUUAGGAGGAACACCAGUGGCGAAGGCGGCUUACUGGACUGUAACUGACACUGAGGCUCGAAAGCGUG